rnacentral:rRNA from 1 species
UGGGGAAUCUUCCGCAAUGGACGAAAGUCUGACGGAGCAACGCCGCGUGAGUGAAGACGGCCUUCGGGUUGUAAAGCUCUGUGAUCCGGGACGAAAGAGCCUGAGGUGAAUAGCCUAAGGAAGUGACGGUACCGGAAAAGCAUGCCACGGCUAACUACGUGCCAGCAGCCGCGGUAAUACGUAGGUGGCAAGCGUUGUCCGGAAUUAUUGGGCGUAAAGCGCGCGCAGGCGGCUUCCUAAGUCCAUCUUAAAAGUGCGGGGCUUAACCCCGUGAUGGGAUGGAAACUGGGAAGCUGGAGUAUCGGAGAGGAAAGUGGAAUUCCUAGUGUAGCGGUGAAAUGCGUAGAGAUUAGGAAGAACACCGGUGGCGAAGGCGACUUUCUGGACGAAAACUGACGCUGAGGCGCGAAAGCGUGGGGAGCAAACAGG